CUAGUAACGGCGAGUGAACAGGCAAGAGCUCAGAUUUGAAAGGCACUUUUGUGCCGUUGUAUUCUGAAGUUAGGGUCCUGAGAAACGAUGCUUAAGUCUUCUGGAAAGGAGCGCCAUGGAGGGUGAUAGCCCCGUCUAGCAUUGACCUCAUAUAGGAUCUUAACAUGGAGUCGAGUUGUUUGGGAAUGCAGCUCAAAUGGGUGGUAUGCUCCAUCUAAAGCUAAAUAUCUGCGAGAGACCGAUAGUAAACAAGUACUGUGAGGGAAAGAUGAAAAGAACUUUGAAAAGAGAGUGAAAAAGUACGUGAAAUUGUUGAAAUGGAAGGGUAGGCCGCUAACCAUGUAGAGCCGUGUUUGGGGGGAAGAUAAAUGCUGUAGAAUGUAGCUCCUCGGAGUAUUAUAGAUGCAGUUCAUAUUCCCACCCGAGCGCGAGGAUCUCAGGUUCUACUAAAUGGUGGUCUACCACCCGUCUUGAAACACGGACCACU
rnacentral:rRNA from 1 species